rnacentral:rRNA from 1 species
ACACGACUCUCGGCAACGGAUAUCACGGCUCUCGCAUCGAUGAAGAACGUAGCGAAAUGCGAUACCUGGUGUGAAUUGCAGAAUCCCGCGAACCAUCGAGUCUUUGAACGCAAGUUGCGCCCGAGCCAUUCGGCCGAGGGCACGCCUGCCUGGGCGUCACGC